AAAUAAUUGAACUACCACUUUCUCGAAAUUUCAAUUUCCCGACCGCAAUAUAAAAAAAAUCCCCAAAUUCCAAAUUUCAUCAUCUUCAAUGCACAAACCCUAGAAUUUCUGAUGUUUCUACUGGUUUUGUUUUGGGACGAAGAAAUGAGGUUAGGGAUCAUGUAUGUAGACUGCUGCUAUGGAAGACAAAAAGAAAAUCAUCUAAAAGGAAAAGCUGGAGGAAUCUAAUAGGUUGAAGGAUGACGAAAGAGUACCUUGGCUUCUGAAGUUGCAUUCAUCAAUGGAUGGUGCUGGUCCUCCUUCGACGUGUUGUAUCGCUCAAUUAUAGAUUUCAUGCUAUAGUGGCAAAACAGAGCUCCUCCAUUUGAAGUCAGGUGUACAUAUGUAUCUUAUCAUUAAACAAUUCUACUCUGUCAUUGGUCGAAACCCUGUACUCUACGACUUUUCUGAGUGCUGGACGAAUGAGAAGCCAUUUUGCUAGUCAAUGGCUAAUCGUAGGAACAAUUACGAGAAAUUCUUUUCUCUGGAAUAAGGUUCGUGAUGAAGUUUACUCGCAGUAGAACCCACAUGGUACCAUCUUUAUUCGAAUUAUUCAAGAUUCGCUUACCCACUACCAUGGCUUGUCUUAGCGCAACAAGCCAGGUUUUAUUUUUUUGCUAUAUCGUACAUUGAGCAUCGUUUUCAGUGGAUUUUUCUAUAGUUAACCACAACCUCUUAUUAUUAUUAUUAUUUUAUUUUUUUGAUCGAUGGCUCUGGAUUUUUUCUUUUACAUUUUUCGUAUAUGAUAUAAAAGUCCAUGUUGCGUAAUUCUACCGCUUCUAGUGAACAAAACUUAGUCAAAUUGCACACGAUCUGGGCCAUCAGGCACGUACGGACACAUCGUAUGCGCCGUUGAAGAAGGAGCAAGGAAACAUUGUUGAGGUUUUUAUGUAGUGAGUUCUGGAGGUUAUGGACAGUAAAGCAAAAGCUUAGCAGGUUUAUUUUUUGGAUCAAGAACUGAGGUUAGGAUCAUGUAGUCUGCUGAUAUUCGAAGACACAAAAAUAAACUCAUUCUAAAAGGAAAAACUGAGGAAAAUAACAGGUGGCUUAUGAAAGAGUACCUUAGCUUCUGAAUUUGCAUUCAUCAAUGGAUGGGGCUGGUCCUCCUUCAACGUAUUGUAUCGCUCGAUUAUAGAUUUCAUGCUGCAGUAGUAAAACAGAGAAUUUUAAUGCAGGCGCGGCAGGCCGUGUUUCAUUUUAUCGAUAUACCUUACAUUGAGCGUCGGUUGCACGCCAACUUUCGGUGGACUUUUCUAUAGAUAAUGGCAAGU